rnacentral:pre_miRNA from 1 species
AUGGUGGUCCGAGACACAUACUUUUUAUUUUCGAACGGGUGAGUGUACAAUCAUGUUGGAAGAUGUAUAUAUUUUACUCGGCUUACCUUUUGGAGGACAAAUUGUUACGUGUCCUCCAA